GACGUAGGGCGCAAGCGUUGUCCGGAUUUAUUGGGCGUAGAGCUCGUAGGCGGCCUGUCGCGUCGACCGUGAAAACCCGCAGCUCAACUGCGGGCUUGCGGUCGAUACGGGCAGGCUGGAGUUCGGUAGGGGAGACUGGAAUUCCUGGUGUAGCGGUGAAAUGCGCAGAUAUCAGGAGGAACACCGGUGGCGAAGGCGGGUCUCUGGGCCGAUACUGACGCUGAGGAGCGAAAGCGUGGGGAGCGAACAGG
rnacentral:rRNA from 1 species